GCAGAUUUUGCUGAUUUUUUUUCCCAACGGGUACUGUGCGGGUUUCAGAUGUGAUCUUUUCUAGGAGUGGGGUUGCCGCUCAACCGGAAUGUAGUUGAGAGAUGGAUUGCAGAAUCAUCUUGGGAGACAUGGUACGUAGAUCCAUUUCAAAGAUUGCGGCAUCUACAUCUUUUAUCAAUUCAUCUGUUCAAACUUUAUGUUUCUUCAGGCUUAGAGUAUGCAUUGCCGAGCUUUUGCAUAAGAGGGACACAUAUAACUUGGUAUGGUUGAAUACUCCCUCUGUC
rnacentral:lncRNA from 1 species